AUUGAACGCUGGCGGAAUGCUUUACACAUGCAAGUCGAGCGGCAGCGCGGGGCAACCUGGCGGCGAGCGGCGAACGGGUGAGUAACAUAUCGGAACGUACCCAGUGGUGGGGGAUAACACAUCGAAAGAUGUGCUAAUACCGCAUACGACUUGAGGGUGAAAGGGGGGGAUCGCAAGACCUCUUGCCGUUGGAGCGGCCGAUAUCGGAUUAGCUAGUUGGUGAGGUAAAGGCUCACCAAGGCGACGAUCCGUAGCUGGUCUGAGAGGAUGAUCAGCCACACUGGAACUGAGACACGGUCCAGACUCCUACGGGAGGCAGCAGUGGGGAAUUUUGGACAAUGGGGGAAACCCUGAUCCAGCCAUUCCGCGUGAGUGAAGAAGGCCUUCGGGUUGUAAAGCUCUUUCGGCAGGAACGAAACGGUGUGAGCUAACACCUCAUAUCAAUGACGGUACCUGAAGAAGAAGCACCGGCUAACUACGUGCCAGCCGCCGCGGUAAUAC
rnacentral:rRNA from 1 species